UGUGCAAGGACCCAAAAAAUAGCCCACACUUGGAAAAACAAAGGGAGAGGAAAUUCUGAGGCAUGCCAUUGAAAUUCGUAAAAGAUUAAGUUCUGUUUUCGAUCAAGUAUGUAAGUAAUGUCACAAAUUUGUGUUAAAUAAUUACAGUGUGAAAACAUUUUGUAUUUUUAAAUGUAAAUUUAAUUUCAUUAGCUACAAAUAUAAAGUUGUACAAAAGCUCAUUCCUAAGGAGGUUAUCAGGUGGUAGCAGUAGCAUUUCAUAAGCGAUCCAUUUGCAAAGCGCAAAUUGUGUCCUUUUUCGGGGAAGGUGGACAUCUGAAAAGUGUGUAAAGUUUAAAGAGCCUUAAGGGAUUAUGCGCACAAAUGUGUUGAAAUUCGGGUCUUAAUGAUAGACCAAGUGGCAGCUAACCGGAAAAAAAUGCCAGAAUAAAGUAAGUGUCCGAAAAAAGGACACAAAAAGCACAAAAAGGACACGCAUUUCGUUUCGUGGCUUAUGGCCAUUUAUAGAUAAGAAGUUAGCCCAAGCUCCGCCAGUUGACCCGAUUGACUGGCUGCUUAUUAGUGUCCUGCCAACUGUGUCCCCACUUCAGCUGCUACAGUGAUAAGUGGCCAUAAGCCUGCAGAGGAUUGGCUCAUCUUGCGCCACAUUUUCCUGAGAUUUCUACUGGGAUUUGCGACAGGUGGCAUUGACUCGCUGACAUUUAUAUCUGACAUUUAUAUCCCUGCGAUGUUUGUUUGCCUCUCCGUUUGUUGUCUCCUGCCAAAAUCUGUCAUCUUCCCAUUCGGAACUCAGCUCAAGUGGCCAACGAGUCGCGUGUCCAAAUAUUGUUGUUUGUUCAGCCUGGUCGAGGACAGUUUGCAGCCUAAGAGGGGUAGGUCCACUUUGGAGCAGUGCAAGGAGAAGGACAAUCCAAUUGGGAAACUACAGGAUAUUGUUUUCAAUCGUGUGAUGGAGUAGACAUAGGGAAGUAUCCUUAUUAACGACUGUUAACUUGUUGAGUGAUAAGUACUAAUUGAAAAAGAGUUACUCGACCGCCUGGUUCGGUUAGAUAUAUGUACUUUACCUUAGAUAUUUCUCCAAGUGUUUACACCUUUACUUUUCCAUAUCCUUGAUACCAGCUUUGUGUGAUACGCCCCUCUGGGUCAAGUUUCCUUCGAAAAAUGUAGCCCACACGAAAUGCUACAAUGUUCCAAAGCACUUGGCUACAGGAAAGUUCUUUUUGGUCGCAUGCCGAAGGCUUUUCCAGGAAAACCCAGCAUCACCCAUUACGAGCAACAACAAUGGGCGGCAGGCAAAACAAAAGGCAAUCAAAAAAGGCGCACUGCUUAAAAUAAAAAAAAAAGAAAAGGAAACAGGAGAAAACGAAACACUUGCAGCUAAGUUUUUACUUUUUAUUGUGCCGAGGAGGGUAAAUUAUACUACGUGAGUGCACAUGGUGAAUUUCCCAAACUCUACUUAGUGGCCCUGGUUUUGGGACGAUUUCCUCAUCAAGGGAAGUGGAAAAUGUGGGGAUGGUGGCGAAGUUGGCGA